UACGAAGGGGGCUAGCGUUGCUCGGAAUUACUGGGCGUAAAGGGCGCGUAGGCGGAUAUCUAAGUUGGGGGUGAAAUCCCGGGGCUCAACCUCGGAAUUGCCUUCAAAACUGGGUAUCUUGAGUUCGGGAGAGGUGAGUGGAACUCCGAGUGUAGAGGUGAAAUUCGUAGAUAUUCGGAAGAACACCAGUGGCGAAGGCGACUCACUGGCCCGAUACUGACGCUGAGGCACGAAAGCGUGGGGAGCAAACAGG
rnacentral:rRNA from 1 species